AAAGAGAGGUCAAUUCCAAGGUUGUUUGUCUUCUCCAAAAAUGAAAAACAAACUCUUUCUAGAAAUUAUUUGCAGGUCAUCACCUAUUAAGGUCGGACAUGCAGAAGAUCUGAAAAUCGAUAAAGAUUUUGCUGAACAGUCACAACCAACUGUGUAGUUGGAGAAGAACACCGACUUGAUGGUAACUCAACAAAAACAAAAAAGAACUAUGGAGUCCGAUGUCUCUCACAUUUCAAUUUCAUUCGAUAGUAGCAGGUAAGGAGACUUUGUAUAGAAUGACAUAAGGUAUAAAAUAGUUAUGUGUUAUUUGUCUGCAUGGUAAAAAACAAAUGAUAUGUUGUAGCUUAAGUAAGUUUUUGAGUGCUUGUUUAAAAAGAAGUGAUGUGGAAAUAUCUAUUUCAGAAAUGGUGAUGAUAAAAACACCAUUAUCAGAAAGAAUUAAUAGUUACUAAACAAAUGAGUUUUGAAACCGAUAACAAAAAAAAGCGCUACGUUUUAUUUUGUUUGUUAGGCUAAACUUGUUCCGAGGACAGGUUAGUCAUGCAUGUAAAUUAAUUAACGUGGCUUUUGUGAUAUGUUUUGUGAAUGUCUAUCCUCGGGUGGUAAGUCUAGCGAAGACUUUAUCCUUCUCCCGGAAGUAGAAUGCAUGUGGCGUACGAGAAUAAAAUCGAGGAAGGCGGUAAAGAAAAAUGUUUUGCAAAUCCCGCAUGAUGUGAUAAGAAAAUAUUUGUUCACGAGACGUCGUUGGAUUGACCUGCUACAUACCGACACGGGAGAGAGUUACCAAUGUAAACUCCACAAUGCGGAAAGGAACAAAUGUGGAGAAAAUUGUAUCUAACAUGGAAGAAACGAAUUUGCCAAGAAGAGAAAGAUCAAAGGAGGAUAUACUUUGGCUUUCUACAUUCGUUUUCCUCCUACGACAAGACUAUUAUGGCGAAGCAUUAAAAAUCAUAUGAUAUUGUGGAUAGUAAUGGUAACGUUUUGAGCUGGAAGAGAUGAUCCAUAAUGGCUUCAAAUGCUCCAAAAAUCACCACUUGUGCUUUCUAAUUCGCGCUUCAAUCUCCCAAAAUUGUAACCCUUGUAAAAGUGUAGAAAAUCCUCUUUUAAAGGCAUCGGAAUGGACCAGGACACGUUAGAAAAAGGCCCAUAACAGUGACCAUC